CGCGUAGGCGGGAUGGCAAGUCGGUCAUGAAAUCCCUCGGCUCAACUGAGGGGCGUCGAUCGAUACUGCCGUUCUUGAGGAUUGCAGAGGAGACUGGAAUUCCCGGUGUAGCGGUGAAAUGUGUAGAGAUCGGGAGGAACACCGGUGGCGAAGGCGGGUCUCUGGGCAAUUCCUGACGCUGAGGCGCGAAAGCGUGGGGAGCAAACGGGAUUAGAUACCCCGGUAGUCCACGCUGUAAACGAUGACGACUAGGUGUGGGGGGGUUCAGUCCCUUCCGUGCCGCAGCUAACGCAUUAAGUCGUCCGCCUGGGGAGUACGGCCGCAAGGUUGAA
rnacentral:rRNA from 1 species